UACGAAAGGGGCUAGCGUUGUUCGGAAUUACUGGGCGUAAAGCGCACGUAGGCGGCACUGUAAGUUGGGGGUGAAAUCCCGGAGCUCAACUCCGGAACUGCCUCCAAAACUACAAAGCUCGAGGAUGCGAGAGGAUAGUGGAAUUCCGAGUGUAGAGGUGAAAUUCGUAGAUAUUCGGAAUAACACCAGUGGCGAAGGCGACUGUCUGGCGCAUUUCUGACGCUGAGGUGCGAAAGCGUGGGGAGCAAACAGG
rnacentral:rRNA from 1 species